GACGAACGCUGGCGGCGUGCCUAAUACAUGCAAGUCGAGCGAGUCUGCCUUGAAGAUCGGAGUGCUUGCACUCUGUGAAACAAGAUACAGGCUAGCGGCGGACGGGUGAGUAACACGUGGGUAACCUGCCCAAGAGAUCGGGAUAACACCUGGAAACAGAUGCUAAUACCGGAUAACAACAGAUGAUGCCUAUCAACUGUUUAAAAGAUGGUUCUGCUAUCACUCUUGGAUGGACCUGCGGUGCAUUAGCUAGUUGGUAGGGUAGCGGCCUACCAAGGCGAUGAUGCAUAGCCGAGUUGAGAGACUGAUCGGCCACAUUGGGACUGAGACACGGCCCAAACUCCUACGGGAGGCAGCAGUAGGGAAUCUUCCACAAUGGACGCAAGUCUGAUGGAGCAACGCCGCGUGAGUGAAGAAGGGUUUCGGCUCGUAAAGCUCUGUUGUUGGUGAAGAAGGACAGGGGUAGUAACUGACCUUUGUUUGACGGUAAUCAAUGAGAAAGUCACGGCUAACUAAGUG
rnacentral:rRNA from 1 species